ACCGUCGAUAGCUCAGUUGGCAGAGCGGUGGACUGUAGAUCCAUAGGUCACUGGUUCGACCCGGCCGACGGAA
rnacentral:tRNA from 1 species